UACGUAGGGUGCAAGCGUUGUCCGGAAUUAUUGGGCGUAAAGAGCUCGUAGGCGGCUUGUCACGUCGAUUGUGAAAGCCCGAGGCUUAACCUCGGGUCUGCAGUCGAUACGGGCUAGCUAGAGUGUGGUAGGGGAGAUCGGAAUUCCUGGUGUAGCGGUGAAAUGCGCAGAUAUCAGGAGGAACACCGGUGGCGAAGGCGGCUUGCUGGGCCUUACCUGACGCUGAGGAGCGAAAGCGUGGGGAGCGAACAGG
rnacentral:rRNA from 1 species